AGAAUAUCUUAGUAGCUCAAUUAUAGUCCCAGGGCUUAGGGAGAUAGAGUAACUUGCAAAAGUAUACACAAUCAGAUGCGAUAGAGUUGAACUUUGAAUGCAUAAUAUUGGAUAUCAAAGUUUCUAUUAUGAACCUCUGUGCUUCUUGAGUAUUUGGCAGAGUACUGAUCUCUGCAUGUGUGAGAGGAAACUACUGAGACGGAAAAAGAACAACGAAAGGGAAAUUAAAGCACAAGAAGCUGAAUAAGGCCAAGAGCUCACACAAG
rnacentral:lncRNA from 1 species